rnacentral:tRNA from 3 species
GUUCUUGUAGUUGAACACAACGGUGGUUUUUCAAGUCAUUAGUCUUGGUUAAAGUCCGAGCAAGAAUU